ACAACGUAGAAGAAGAAACACAAACUUGGCGGACUAAACAAACGUAGUUCUCUAGCAAAGCCGUAAAACAUAAACCUCGUUUCAGCAAACAGGAUCGUUGAAUUCAGGUUUUGUCGGUAAAAAAGUUCGGCUCAAAGAUGAGUUCGUUCGCGGGACGAAUGAAGGAAUAUCCCACUAUUUCUCUGGACCGGUUCGACAGGGAGAACCUACACGCACAGGCCUAUUUCCUGUCCCAUUGUCACAAAGAUCACAUGAAGGGUCUGAAAGGACCUCUGCUGAAGAGGAAACUACAGUUCAGUCGAACCGUCAGACUUUACUGCUCCUUCGUGACCAAAGAGCUGCUGCUGAACAACCCGAAGUAYGCCUUCUGGGAGGAAAACAUUGUUCCUCUGGAGCUGGAGAGCCCGACUCAGAUCUCACUUGUUGAUGAAGCUUCUGGAGAGAAACAGGAGAUCGUGGUGACGUUGCUUCCUGCAGGUCACUGUCCCGGCUCGGUCAUGUUCCUGUUUGAGGGUGGCCACGGGAACGUCCUGUACACAGGUGACUUCAGGUUGGCUGUGGGAGACGUGUCCAGGAUGGAGCACCUGCACUCUGGCAGCAGGGUGAAAAACAUCCAGAGUGUUUAUCUGGACUCCACGUUCUACGACCCGCGGUUCUACCAGAUCCCCAGCCGGGAGGUCUGUCUGAGAGGGAUCUCAGAGCUCACAGGGAACUGGAUCAGUCAGAGUCCUCAUCACGUGGUGUGGCUGAACUGUAAGGCUGCGUACGGAUAUGAGUACCUGUUCACCAACCUGGGGGAGGAGUUUAACACUCAGAUCCACGUGAACAGUCUGGUCAUGUUCAAAAAGAUGCCAGAGAUCCUGAGCUACAUCACAACGGACCGCCGGACUCAGAUCCACGCCUGUCGACACCCCAAGGACGAGGAGUUUUUCCUGGGGAACCGGCUGCCGUGUGGCUGCACGGCCGCAGACGGGACGCCUCUUCGGAUCAUCAGCAUCAAACCGUCCACCAUGUGGUUCGGAGAGAGAAGCAAGAAGACCAACGUUUUAAUCAAAACAGGAAACAGUUCCUACAGAGCCUGUUUCAGCUUCCACUCCUCCUUCUCUGAGAUUAAAGACUUCCUGUCGUACCUUCAGCCCGUCAACAUUUACCCGAGCGUGGUCCCGAUCGGCCGCACGCUGCAGGAGGUCACACAGAUGUUGAGGAUGAUGUGCAGGAAGCAGCCUGACGAAGCAGCCAUCGUUUAUAAACCUCUGGGGGUCCUGAAGCGCAGCCGGAUGCAGCCGCCCACCAACGACUCGGGGAGCGACGAGGAUCUGUUUGAAGGUCUGGAUCUGGUGCCGGUCCGGAAGAAGGCGUACCUGAACCAGGAAGCAGAACGUGAGAACCCACCUGAGACCACAGCGCCCCCUGUGGACGAGUCGGUCCCUCUGGUGGUCUCCGACCCGCAGCCUGUUGGACAGAACUACUUCGACUGCACCGAGUCCAACGGAGAGGAGGAUGAUGAUGAUGAAGAGGAGGAGGAGGGAAAAGGAGACGCAGCGAAGGGAACCAAAGCGCCUCCUAAGUGGGAGGACUUCUUCUCAGCAGAGAUGCUGAGUGACAGCCAGAACAGCCAAUCACAGUCCUGCUGCUCCGUCAGGACCGCCUCCCCCUCCAGAGCCACGGGGUCUCAGACUCCAGAACUGUUCAGUGAUGAAGARGAGCAUCCUGACAACGAGGAGACCUUCAGCCUGGCGCUGUCCGCGUCUCUGUCGGACCGCUCCUCUCAGAACAUCGAGGACACUCUGAUCCUCCACCCAGAGACCCAGAACCACCCCGUCCAAUCAGAGCCCGAGGAGCUGCCGGCGUCUCAGGCCUCCUCGGACUUCGACGUCCCCGGCACGCCGGAGUCGAAGGCGCCGCGGCCCGACGAGCUGUCGCAGCUUUACAGGAAGUUGGCUUCAGGAGAGGAAGUGGCCAUCAGAGAGCGGAGAUUCACCUGAACCGGGCCGAGAGACGGGGGAGUCCCAGACCACACCUGGACCUGGAGUCCUCCAGGUGGGGCUUUGUUUUCACAGCUUCUGAGGUUUCUUUGGAACACUUGAGCUGCACCGAUCACUUCCUGGUCCACCACAUGAAGGACCGCCUGAGAACUGUUGGACAGAGUCUGAAGACACGGCCCAGGAGGAGGCUGCAGGCAACACAAAGACACGUCUGAGGAGACAAACAUCAUCCGUCAUCUCCAGAGAGAGGGAGCUCCACAUGGUGUCUGCACCUGAUGUCCUGGAACGUGUAGAUAAAGAGAAAUGUUUACUGUUCAAUAAAUAAAUAAAUAAUCUGACUUCA